CAAAGACUGAAACAUUUGAAUUAGUUACAUGAUGUUGAUCUCAAACAGAACAUGUUCUUUUUUCUUAAUUUCUCUUGCUGAUUCUAACUAAUGGUAACACAUCUUUAAAUUAACAAUAGAAUUGGCAAGCUUUUUGGGCUGAAUGACCUGUUCUCGUCAAAAUUGUUCUAAUUUCUGAAUAUUAUAUUUCCUUCAUCAGCUUGUUUUAGUUACAGGAGUGUUUGCCAUUUUUUAUUUGUUUUGUUUUAGAGUGACAUUCAACUUCCUUGUGCCUUGUCCUGCUGGGAUAGUUCUCACAGUCUCAUAUCCCUUAUUUGGGUCAGGCAGCUUUAAAAGUGUUAUGUAUUAGAGUAGUAUAAACUGAAUUUCUUGGCCAUUUAGUCAGUGUUAGGUACAUCUGCGGAUUAAGGAAUAGAAACUAGAGUAACUAGAGAGGGCCAAAAGAAAAUGCGAGUACCACAGAGUGAGAACCUGGGCUAGGGUUCCGACUUAGGAGUCUGUAGCUUUGAGACAGUUGCACAAAGCACUGUACAACACUUUGUUGAUAAAAGCAACAUUUUUGGAUUCUUGCAGUAAAUAAAGAUAUUUGACAUUAUUAUAUUUGAGUGCAGUGUGUGUGUGAAACAUGACAGUACAGUAUAUGUAAAGAAUGUUUGAGCUGUCAUACACUCCUCACUAUCAACAACCAGACAUUGUGCAAAUCAAAUUAAGAAGGCUUAUACGGUCGGAGGUUGGAUUACAUAACUAGGUGCAUAGAGUGCUAUUCUAGGAAGGUUGUUCUUGAGACACAUAUCACAGUUUUGAGGCCUCAUCUAGAAUAUUCUGUGCAGCUUUGGUCACCCUAUUUAUAAAAAAAAAAAUAA